rfam:Tupaia chinensis contig99087, whole genome shotgun sequence.
UGGCGCCCGAAGAGGGACUCGAGAAGAAGGUAGCAACAGGUUCCCGAAGAUUCCGAAGAGGAAUAAGAAGUACGUUCCCAGCGAGGAACAAGACAGAAGCCUGCGGCACUUCAGGGGACACAGAAGAAGACGUCCCGGUGUCACGAUAGAAAUCCGGGUUAUAGCUUAGACUAUAAUGGGGCAAGAGCUCAGCCAGCAUGAAUUAUUUGUCCACGAGUUAAAAGAAACUCUGAAAACUAGAGGAGUUAAAGUAAAAAUUAAGCAAUUACUUUCCUUUUUUGAUUUCCUAAAAGACGUUUGCCCUU